rnacentral:rRNA from 1 species
UACGUAGCAGCAAGCGUUGUUCGGAAUUACUGGGCGUAAAGAGUGUGUAGGCGGUGCUCUAAGUUCGGUGUGAAAUCUCCCGGCUCAACUGGGAGGGUGCGCCGGAAACUGGAGUGCUGGAGCGCGGGAGAGGAAAGCGGAAGUUCCUGGUGUAGCGGUGAAAUGCGUAGAUAUCAGGAGGAACACCGGCGGUGUAGACGGCUUUCUGGACCGUAGCUGACGCUGGAGACACGAAAGCGUGGGUAGCAAACAGG